GACGAGCGCAACCCUCGCUGUGUGUUACAAGUGUCACACAGUACUGCCGAUAUUAAGUCGGAGGAAGGUGGGGAUGACGUCAAGUCAGCAUGACCUUUAUAUCCAGGGCUACACACACGCUACAAUGGCCAGUACAAUGGGUUGCCAAGCCGCGAGGCGGAGCCAAUCCUAAAAAGCUGGCCUCAGUUCAGAUUGCAGUCUGCAACUCGACUGCAUGAAGUUGGAGUUGCUAGUAACCGCAGGUCAGCAAUACUGCGGUGAAUACGUUCCCGGGGAUU
rnacentral:rRNA from 1 species